CCCUUUCCUUCAUCUGACCGAAAAUGAUAAAGGGAGAGCAAUCACCCCGAGCGGGAUCCCUGAAAUUUGGAGAUCUCUUGUGCCCAUUCUCGCGGAGAGGAGCGAGUUUCCUCUGGGAUGGAAGAAAUCCAGAUAUACUGUGGCAUUCCUCCCACCUGCCAGUCUGAUAACCUGAUCUGAAGAUCCUGAGAUGAGCUCGGUUCGGCUUUAGAGCAUCCAAGUUGACGUAAGCUCCGUGCAGUCUUUGCUGAGUGCCUACAGGUCUCACUUCACUUGAUCCUCAGCGUAUUCAUGCAAAAAUGUUCACAGCAGCUUUAUUUACAAUAGCUGAAGACUGAAAAUGACCCAUAUUUCAUCAACAAGGAACUUCCUGGUGGCGCAGUGGUUAAGAAUCUGCCUGCCAAUGCAGGGGACAGGGGUUUGAGCCCUGGUCCGGGAAGAUCCCACAUGCCCCGGAGCAACUAAGCCCGUGCACAACUACUGAGCCUGUGCUCUAGAGCCCAAGAGCCGCAACUACUGAACCUGCGUGCCACAGUUACUGAAGCCUGCGCACCUAGAGCCUGUGCUCUGCACCAAGAAGCCUGUGCACCACAACAAAGAGUAGCCCUUACUCGCCACAGCUAGAGAAAGCCCACGUGCGGCAAUGAAGACUCAGUGCAGCCAAAAAUAAAUAAAUUAAUUAAAAAAAAUAAAGGAUAUGGGUUUAAAAAAAGAAAAGAAAAGAAAAGAAAAUGGAUAGACACACUGUGGUACAUCCAUACAGCGUAAUACCACUCUCCUGAGUAGUAUACAAAUUCUGUGAAACAUGCUACCCAUCCAGGUACCAACAUGGAUAAACCUCAAAAACUUUAUGCUGAGCUAAAGAAACCAAACACAGCAAACAGUACAUGCUGUUGGAUUCCACUCAUAUAAAGUUCUAAAACAGACCAAAGUAACGUGGUAGAAAUCAGAACAGUGGUUGCCCCUGAGGGUGGAAGGUAUUGACUAGGAAGGGGCAUGAGGGAACUUUCUGAGAUGUUGGAAAUAUUCUGCUGGGCUCAAAUCUUAAUCCUGCCACCUAUCUGGCGGGUGAUCUCGGGCAAGUUUUUGUCUUCUGAGCCUUAGUUUUCUAACACUGCUAGAUCGUUGUGGAGAUUACAGAUGUAAAAAUAGGUCUGACUCAUAGCUUGCCACAUUCACAAAGAUUUGUUGAAUGUCUAAUGAAUGAUAAAAUAAUAACCAUUUAUUAA